GUUAAUUUUUGCUCAUAACAAGUUCGUAAUAUAAAAAACUAAAUUCCCCCUCCGUUAUUCUCCUAUUUCUCAGGUGUCUCCGCCCUGGAGAAGCAAGAAGCCGGAAGUUACUUCUACAUCUUCUACGACCGCUGUACUCCUCCAUGUACAUAAAGGAGCAGGCUUUGUCUGAUUAGAGGGAUGGUGAAGUUCACCGGAUAUUCUUUGAUUACUUCAUUUACUCCAUUUCAUUCUAUUAUUCUUAAAAAACAUCACAGAUUACCAUUAAAUUUAUGUAACAAGAAUUCAACUAAGUCAAGAAGCCUGUCUACUUGUGCUCAAAAGCGUCACUUGCAUGCAAAAGCUGGGAUGGGUGCAGGGCAAUAUCUUCCUCCGUUGUUUAGUGUUGCUCCAAUGAUGGACUGGACAGAUAAUCAUUAUAGGACCCUUGCCCGGCUUAUAUCAAAACAUUCUUGGCUUUAUACAGAGAUGCUUGCAGCAGAAACCAUUGUCUAUCAACAGGGAAAUUUGGACAGGUUUUUGGCAUAUUCUCCUGAACAGCAUCCCAUUGUCCUGCAAAUUGGUGGAAAUAAUUUGGACAACCUGGCAAAAGCAACUGAACUUGCCACGGCUUAUGGCUAUGAUGAGAUUAACUUCAAUUGCGGUUGUCCAAGUCCAAGAGUAGCUGGGCACGGAUGCUUUGGUGUUCGUCUUAUGCUUGAUCCAAAGUUUGUUGGUGAAGCUAUGUCAGUAAUUGCAGCCAAUACAAAUGUUCCUGUUAGUGUUAAAUGCCGAAUUGGGGUAGAUGAUCAUGAUUCAUACAAUGAACUUUGUGAUUUUAUCUAUAAGGUUUCUUCUCUAUCCCCAACUGAGCAUUUUAUAAUACAUUCACGGAAAGCUUUGCUCAAUGGAAUCAGUCCUGCUGAUAACCGAAGAAUUCCUCCCCUCAAAUAUGAGUACUACUUCGCCCUCCUGCGGGACUUCCCUAAUUUGAAAUUUACCAUAAAUGGAGGCAUAAAUUGUAUUGAUGAGGUAAAUUUGGCAUUGAGUGAAGGAGCGCAUGGUGUUAUGGUUGGGCGUGCUGCAUAUAAUAAUCCUUGGAGUGUGCUGGGACAUGUUGAUUCUGAAAUUUAUGGCGCUCCAAGGAGUGGUCUUACUCGUCGUCAGGUCCUUGAACAGUAUCAAAUAUAUGGGGAUGGCAUUCUGGGAACAUAUGGAAAUAAUAGACCCAAUGUUAGGGAUGUGAUAAAGCAUAUCAUAUUAUCCCAAGUAUUCUACUAUGCUGCAGCCUUUGCUUGGUUUUUUCUAUUCUGAGCCUGGAAAUGGUUUGUGGAAGCGCAAAGCUGAUGCUGCUUUCCAGUACUGCACAACAAUCAAAUCCUUUUUCGACGAAACCUUAGUAGCGGUUCCUGACACAGUUUUGGACUCACCUAUUGCGGGGGCACCAGCUGGUCGUCAAGAUCUUUUUGCCAACGUUAAGGGGUUGCUCCCACCACCAUAUGAAACAGAAGAAAAGGAGGUAGCAUAUGCUUAAUCGCAAUUUGGAGCUGCCUUCAACUGUAUGAAUGUAUCCCAUUUUAUGACCACACAUAUUCAUUGCAAUUCUUUGGACAACCUGAUGAAUUAGUUGUAACAUUUUAUGCAACAGUAUACUAGAGGGAUAAUCAGAGCAUGUACACCCUUGGAUAGUGAGAUAGAAACAGUUAUAAAUUAUCUCCAACUACAGUUAGGAUAGGAUACUCAAAUUGCAGAGUGAUGAAAUUAUAAGUGUAUGCAUGUGUCUAAUCCUUGUCUUGCUGAAUUUGUACGAGUGUAACAUACUGAAUUAUUAAUUAGUUGCACUGUUAAAUUA